rnacentral:tRNA from 1 species
GAGAGUGCGAGGUCUCCGGUGAGGCCCGCGGUCUUCAAAACCGUUGAGCGGGGACGUGAGUUUUCGCUGGUUGGUUCGACUCCAAUGCACUCUCG